GAUGAACGCUGGCGGCGUGCCUAAUACAUGCAAGUCGAGCGAACAGAUGAGGAGCUUGCUCCUCUGACGUUAGCGGCGGACGGGUGAGUAACACGUGGAUAACCUACCUAUAAGACUGGGAUAACUUCGGGAAACCGGAGCUAAUACCGGAUAAUAUAUUGAACCGCAUGGUUCAAUAGUGAAAGACGGUUUUGCUGUCACUUAAAGAUGGAUCCGCGCCGCAUUAGCUAGUUGGUAAGGUAACGGCUUACCAAGGCGACGAUGCGUAGCCGACCUGAGAGGGUGAUCGGCCACACUGGAACUGAGACACGGUCCAGACUCCUACGGGAGGCAGCAGUAGGGAAUCUUCCGCAAUGGGCGAAAGCCUGACGGAGCAACGCCGCGUGAGUGAUGAAGGUCUUCGGAUCGUAAAACUCUGUUAUUAGGGAAGAACAAAUGUGUAAGUAACUAUGCACGUCUUGACGGUACCUAAUCAGAAAGCCACGGCUAACUACGUG
rnacentral:rRNA from 1 species